rnacentral:rRNA from 1 species
GAACGCGACUGGGGCUUCGGCCUCAGUCGAGUGGCGAACGGGUGAGUAACACGUGGGUGACCUACCUUCGAGUGGGGGAUAACGUCCCGAAAGGGACGCUAAUACCGCAUAACAUCCUGCCUUUGAACAGGCGGAGAUCAAAGCCGGGGAUCGCAAGACCUGGCGCUUGAUGAGGGGCCCGCGCCUGAUUAGCUAGUUGGUGAGGUAAUGGCUCACCAAGGCGACGAUCAGUAUCCGGCCUGAGAGGGCGGACGGACACACUAGGACUGAGACACGGCCCAGACUCCUACGGGAGGCAGCAGUGGGGAAUUGUUCGCAAUGGGCGCAAGCCUGACGACGCAACGCCGCGUGGAGGAUGAAGGUCUUCGGAUUGUAAACUCCUGUUGCUCGGGACGAAAAGCUCCGACCUAAUACGUCGGAGUCUGACGGUACCGAGUGAGGAAGCCCCGGCUAACUCUGUGCCAGCAGCCGCGGUAAUACAGAGGGGGCAAGCGUUG